rnacentral:rRNA from 1 species
UUCCGGUUGAUCCCGCCGGAGGCUACCGCUAUUGGAGUUCGAUUAAGCCAUGCGAGUCGCGAGUCUUAGGGACUCGGCGUACCGCUCAGUAACACGUGGGUAACCUGCCCUAUGCUGGGGGAUAACCUCGGGAAACUGAGAAUAAUACCCCAUAGUUCACCACGCCUGGAACGGUGGGUGGACCAAAGCUCCGGCGGCAUAGGAUGGGCCUGCGGCGUAUCAGGUUGUAGGGGGUGUAAUGUACCCUCUAGCCCUCUACGCGUACGGGUGUUGAGAGACAUCGCCCGGAGAUGGAUUCUGAGACACGAAUCCAGACCCCACGGGGUGCAGCAGGCGCGAAAACUUGGCAAUGCGAGAAAUCGUGACCAGGGAACUCCAAGUGCAUCGGGUAAGACCGAUGCUUUUCUUGACUCUUCAAAGGUCUUGGAAUAAGGGGUGGGUAAGGACGGUGCCAGCCGCCGCGGUAAUACCGGCGCCCCAAGUGGUAGUCGCUUUUAUUGGGCCUAAAACGUCCGUAGCCGGUCUGGUACAUUCGUGGGUAAAUCAACCAGCUCAACUGGUUGAAUUCUGCGAGCACGGCCAGACUUGGGACCGGGAGAGGUGUGGGGUACUCUCAGGGUAGGGGUAAAAUCCUGUCAUCCUGAGAGGACCACCUGUUGCGAAGGCGCCACACUAGAACGGAUCCGACGGUCAGGGACGAAGCCUAGGGGCACGAACCGGAUUAGAUACCCGGGUAGUCCUAGGUGUAAACGCUGUGGACUUGAUGUUGGGGGCGCUCCGAGCGCACUCAGUGUCGAAGCGAAGGUGAUAAGUCCACUGCCUGGGGAGUACGGUCGCAAGGCUGAAACUUAAAGGAAUUGGCGGGGGAGCACCGCAACCUGAGGAUUGUGCGGUUUAAUUGGAUUCAACGCCGGA